GCAUGUGUUUGUAUUCCACAGCUUCCGGACCCUUCCGUGGCACCCUGCCUGCAUAAUGGACUUAGAAACGUGGCUGGCCAACGUACCACGCUCUUGUUUCCCAAGAGGCUGAAUUCAGAAGCAUUUUUUUUAUUUUCAAUCCUGGCUCCCAAGCUCGUGUCACAUGAAGAAGGCCACGGCAUCAAGGCACAACACGCUCUAUUUUUGGGGUAGUCCAAGGGAGCCAGACCAGUCGGGAUCCUUUGUUAGCAACCAGCCCUGACAGCCGUUUCAUGAAGCACCUUUCAGCUGCUCUUGAAUGAGAACAGCUGUCUGAGAGCCAAAUGAGGUAAUUGACAGGAUGGAGCACCGCAAGCCAUUCAUCUCCACUAAGCCUGUGUUUGCUUUCCUGUUUCCCUACUCUUCCUUUUAAAUCCGGAGCUCAUAUUAAUGAAAACGGCAACCUGGAAAGCAAGACUCAAGCAUCACUCCUGGAUUUUAUGGAAACAUCUUUAGCACAAAGCAUCUUAUCAGAGGAAUUGGCCAGAAUCUAAUAGGGAGAAAUGCACUGCAUCCACAAGCCCAUUUCUACAGUCACAUGGAAGCUUUGCACAAGACAGAACUUGGGCUUUCCUUAAGCCCCUAUUUAGAGAAGCUCUCAAAGAUGUGUUUAAGCCUACGGUUAAUUCCUGCUGUCCUCUGCUCUGUCUUGCAUGUGAUGUACAGCAAAAAGCCAGCACAUUCAGAGCAAUUAAUUCUGCCCUGAAUCUGUACUCAAAGACAGAGCAUACUACCAAAACCUGGGUCAGUGAGGGGGAAGAAAACCUGCCCAAUGUGAAGUUCCAAAAAGUGAUUUUUUUAUAGACUUUUUAUAUGAUGGACUUUUUACUGCAAUGGGACUAAAGAAUUCAGAAUUUCUGAACUGAAGUUCAGAAAUGUCUAAAGGGGAAGAGAUGGAUGCAGUAGCUGGUUAAGUUACUUUCUGAAGUCUGUGUCACUUAGUUCUCUAUCUCUCUGCAUGCUGAGGGACGGCAUUUGAAUUCUAGAGCAAGAAGUGAUAAAGCAAAACCAAAAAGUCUUCCAAUCUGAACUCCUGAGAAGUGACUGUGCAGAAAGCACUCAGUACUGUUUAGGCCUGAACUGC